rnacentral:rRNA from 1 species
AGUGAACGCUGGCGGUAGGCCUAACACAUGCAAGUCGAACGGCAGCACAGUAAGAGCUUGCUCUUACGGGUGGCGAGUGGCGGACGGGUGAGGAAUACAUCGGAAUCUACUUUUUCGUGGGGGAUAACGUAGGGAAACUUACGCUAAUACCGCAUACGACCUACGGGUGAAAGCAGGGGAUCUUCGGACCUUGCGCGAUUGAAUGAGCCGAUGUCGGAUUAGCUAGUUGGCGGGGUAAAGGCCCACCAAGGCGACGAUCCGUAGCUGGUCUGAGAGGAUGAUCAGCCACACUGGAACUGAGACACGGUCCAGACUCCUACAGGAGGCAGCAGUGGGGAAUAUUGGACAAUGGGCGAAAGCCUGAUCCAGCCAUACCGCGUGGGGGAAGAAGGCCUUCGGGUUGUAAAGCCCUUUUGUUGGGAAAGAAAAGCAGCAGGUUAAUACCCCGCUGUUCUGACGGUACCCAAAGAAUAAGCACCGGCUAACUUCGUG